UGGGGAAUUUUGGACAAUGGGCGAAAGCCUGAUCCAGCAAUGCCGCGUGUGUGAAGAAGGCCUUCGGGUUGUAAAGCACUUUUGUCCGGAAAGAAAUCCUUGGCUCUAAUACAGUCGGGGGAUGACGGUACCGGAAGAAUAAGCACCGGCUAACUACGUGCCAGCAGCCGCGGUAAUACGUAGGGUGCAAGCGUUAAUCGGAAUUACUGGGCGUAAAGCGUGCGCAGGCGGUUUGCUAAGACCGAUGUGAAAUCCCCGGGCUCAACCUGGGAACUGCAUUGGUGACUGGCAGGCUAGAGUAUGGCAGAGGGGGGUAGAAUUCCACGUGUAGCAGUGAAAUGCGUAGAGAUGUGGAGGAAUACCGAUGGCGAAGGCAGCCCCCUGGGCCAAUACUGACGCUCAUGCACGAAAGCGUGGGGGAGCAAACAGGAUUAGAUACCCUGGUAGUCCACGCCCUAAACGAUGUCAACUAGUUGUUGGGGAUUCAUUUCCUUAGUAACGUAGCUAACGCGUGAAGUUGACCGCCUGGGGAGUACGGUCGCAA
rnacentral:rRNA from 1 species